GUCGUGAUGGGGCACACCUGUAGUCCCAGCUACUAGGGAGGCUGAAGCAGGAGCAUCACUUGAGUCCAGGUUUUCUGGGCUGUAGUGCUCUGUGCCUGUUGGGUGUCUGCACUAAGUUUGGCAUCAAUCUGGUGAACUCCCAGGAGCAGGGAACCACCAGGUUGACUAAGGAGUGGUGACCAGAGCUAGGCUGGAAAUGGAGCAGGUCAAAAUUCCUAUACUGAUCAGUUAUGGGAUUGUACCUGCAAAUGGCCACAGCACUCCAACCUAGGUAACAUAGCAAGACCUUGUCUCU
rnacentral:SRP_RNA from 1 species